GAUGAACGCUAGCGGCAGGCCUAACACAUGCAAGUCGAGGGGCAGCACAGGAACAGCAAUGUUUUGGUGGCGACCGGCGGACGGGUGCGUAACGCGUAUGCAACCUACCUUUAACAGGGGGAUAACGGAGAGAAAUUUCCACUAAUACCCCAUAACAUCGAUCAAGGCAUCUUGAUUGGUUGAAAACUCCGGUGGUUAAAGAUGGGCAUGCGUUGUAUUAGGUAGUUGGUGAGGUAAUGGCUCACCAAGCCUACGAUACAUAGGGGGACUGAGAGGUUAGCACCCCAAACUGGUACUGAGACACGGACCAGACUCCUACGGGAGGCAGCAGUGAGGAAUAUUGGUCAAUGGGGGCAACCCUGAACCAGCCAUGCCGCGUGCAGGAAGACGGCUCUAUGAGUUGUAAACUGCUUUUAAACAGGGAUAAAGCACAGUAUGUAUACUGUGUUGAAGCUACUGUAAGAAUAAGGAUCGGCUAACUCCGUGCCAGCAGCCGCGGUAA
rnacentral:rRNA from 1 species